GAUGAACGCUAGCUACAGGCUUAACACAUGCAAGUCGAGGGGAAACGACAUUGGAAGCUUGCUUCCUUUGGGCGUCGACCGGCGCACGGGUGAGUAACGCGUAUCCAACCUUCCCGCAAGUAAGGGAUAACCCGUAGAAAUGCGGCCUAAUACCUUAUGUUUUCCUUAGAGGGCAUCUGAUGAGGAACAAAGAUCCGUCGCUUGCGGAUGGGGAUGCGUCUGAUUAGGUAGUAGGCGGGGCAACGGCCCACCUAGCCGACGAUCAGUAGGGGUUCUGAGAGGAAGGUCCCCCACAUUGGAACUGAGACACGGUCCAAACUCCUACGGGAGGCAGCAGUGAGGAAUAUUGGUCAAUGGGCGCGAGCCUGAACCAGCCAAGUAGCGUGCGGGAAGAAGGCCCUAUGGGUUGUAAACCGCUUUUACCGGGGGAUAAAGUGAGCCUCGUGAGGCUUUUGCAUGUACCUUAUGAAUAAGGACCGGCUAAUUCCGUG
rnacentral:rRNA from 1 species